rnacentral:rRNA from 1 species
AGCAGCAGCCGCGGGAAUACGUAGGGCGCGAGCGUUAAUCGGAAUUACUGGGCGUAAAGCGUGCGCAGGCGGUUAUAUAAGACAGAUGUGAAAUCCCCGGGCUCAACCUGGGACCUGCAUUUGUGACUGUAUAGCUAGAGUACGGUAGAGGGGGAUGGAAUUCCGCGUGUAGCAGUGAAACGCGUAGAAAUGCGGGGGAACACUGAUGGCGAAGGCAAUCCCCUGGACCUGUACUGACGCUCAUGCACGAAAGCGUGGGGAGCAAACAGGAUUAGAUACCCGCGUAGUCCCUGUCUCUUAUAC